rnacentral:rRNA from 1 species
GCUUAACGCGAAGAACCUUACCAAGGCUUGACAUACACCGGAAACAUCCAGAGAUGGGUGCCCCCUUGUGGUCGGUGUACAGGUGGUGCAUGGCUGUCGUCAGCUCGUGUCGUGAGAUGUUGGGUUAAGUCCCGCAACGAGCGCAACCCUUGUCCCGUGUUGCCAGCAGGCCCUUGUGGUGCUGGGGACUCACGGGAGACCGCCGGGGUCAACUCGGAGGAAGGUGGGGACGACGUCAAGUCAUCAUGCCCCUUAUGUCUUGGGCUGCACACGUGCUACAAUGGCCGGUACAAAGAGCUGCGAUGCCGUGAGGCGGAGCGAAUCUCAAAAAGCCGGUCUCAGUUCGGAUUGAGGUCUGCAACUCGACCUCAUGAAGUCGGAGUCGCUAGUAAUCGCAGAUCAGCAACGCUGCGGUGAAACACGUUCCCGGGUCUU